rnacentral:rRNA from 1 species
AGGAUGAACGCUAGCUACAGGCUUAACACAUGCAAGUCGAGGGGCAGCAUUGGAGUAGCAAUACUUCAGAUGGCGACCGGCGCACGGGUGAGUAACACGUAUCCAACCUGCCGCUUACUCGGGGAUAGCCUUUCGAAAGAAAGAUUAAUACCCGAUGGUAUAAAGAGUUCGCAUGUUCUCUUUAUUAAAGAAUUUCGGUAAGCGAUGGGGAUGCGUUCCAUUAGAUAGUUGGCGGGGUAACGGCCCACCAAGUCUACGAUGGAUAGGGGUUCUGAGAGGAAGGUCCCCCACAUUGGAACUGAGACACGGUCCAAACUCCUACGGGAGGCAGCAGUGAGGAAUAUUGGUCAAUGGACGAGAGUCUGAACCAGCCAAGUAGCGUGAAGGAUGACUGCCCUAUGGGUUGUAAACUUCUUUUAUAAGGGAAUAAAGUGAGGGACGUGUCCCUUUUUGUAUGUACCUUAUGAAUAAGGAUCGGCUAACUCCGUGCCAGCAGCAGC